UUCUCUUUUUUUUUUAUUAAUUAUUCCGCAGAACCCACACUACGAAAGAUAUUCCUCUUGCUGAAAAAAAUUUCGUAAUCAGUGAAAUUCUCACAGGAUUCAGUUCAAUUGGUUAUAAUUUUAUUCAAUAACUCUUUUAUCUUUACAAGGACGGAUCGUAGGACGGAUCGUAGAUGAUACGGAAAUAAUUGAAAAGGUUUAGUUAAAAAAAUCGGUGUGACGGAAAAGUGAAUUUUCAAGAUAAACCGGAUAUCGAGUUAAUGCAUACGACAUGGUACCGUCACUGGAGGCAAUGAUCAAGGGAGUGAUGACAGGUAGCUAGUUGCCCUCAUUGCCAAUAUGAAACGUGUAAUUUAAGGUGGUAAAUAACGAUAAAGCGAAUGCAUAAAUCAACGUCUUUGGACGCGCAUGAGCUGGAUCAUGAUCUUGCGUACACGCGACGAGGCGUUGAAAACAAACGUUACACACGGAGAGAAAUAUUUAGUAAAAAUUACGGAACUUACAGUUGGCUUACCGAUUAGGGGAACGACUUGAAAUGUAAGUGGUGGUACCGUAAUUUUUCGCUGAUAAUUCAAAUACCAAUUACAGAACGCCGCAGAAUGAUUCCGUGACAUCAGGUAGAAAUUAUGUGACUGUGAAUUAUAUUCAAUCAAAAUCCCGAGCCGUAAUUCCGGAGCGAAAUAUGACUAUAAACUUACAUUUUUCAAGUCGAUUCCGUAAUCGGUAAGCGAACUGAAGGUUCUGUAAUUUUUAUUAAACAUUUCUCUCCGUGCUGGAAGCCAUUUCCGCCCGUGACAAUUUAUCUGGCAUCAGGGAACUGCCAUUUGAAUUUCCCGUAGGGUAUUUGCAUGGACUCCCAGUGAAAUUGCUGCCGCGUGCUUUCUAUUAUCCGAGAUAACCAGACUGUUGGCAGCGGAUGGAUAUGAGUUAGAUGAACGCCACUUGAGCUGAUUAACCUUUGGUAAAGCCUCGGGUCGUCUCUUACCCGCGAAUAAAUAUAUUCACUUCUCCAGUUUCUCUUUAUAAAAAUGCAGAAUCAAGUUUAACUUGCAAUUUGAAAAGUCCAUUGUCAGCCAUUGAAGAGGGAAUGAGAGAUUAAACGAAUGAAACGAUCCGACAACAAGCAUCAAAGGUCAAUGGAGAGACAUCGGUUUUCCUGAUGAUAGAGACUAGAUAUAAAUCCAUCUGUCUGCUAGUAGUCUGUCUAGCCAGCUAAUAGAGGACAUCUAUCUUUCCUCUCUAGCCUGAGAACCGGUCGUCCUGGACUUUAGAUCGGAAUUUCACUAGUGAAUUCCUCAACGUCCCCAGGACAGUUCUAUCUUCUGGCGAUAUUGUGAGAUGGAGAACUUCCAAUGGGUCACAAAUACCUCGGAAAUAAAUAUUCGCACACUAUUUUCUGGAAAAUACUACGGGGUUGUGAAAUCUUUGGCUGAGAUUUCUGGUGCGUACUUCAUUUUUAACAACUGACAGUUACACUGCAAUUCGAUGUAAUUUCGUCACUGGGAGUUUGGAAACUCUAGAAGGAAAGAAUAAUAGGAAAGAAUAGAUCCCUCAACAAAUUGACAGCUCUCGGCUGAUGUCUGAAGUCUUCUCUCUGAAUUUCCGGAUAAUAAACUUUAAUAAAAAUAUUUAUUGGGAAGAAAAAAUAGGACUUCGAGUGUUCCUAGAAUGCCGGGAUUUAUGCAGAGAGUGGAAUGUUUUAUUGAGCAUAAAUAUUGUUGGAGAACAUCUCUGGAUGUGAAAGCUCAUUACUCAUGAGAAAGCUUGAGUGUUGAAUAUCCGAUGUCUUUCCGACACCCGGCAGACGUGACUCGAUGGAUCACUCUUGUGUGUGGUAUGACCCCUGGAGAUGCCUCAUUUGCUGUAUGAAUCACGAAGCAACUCCUUUUGAUGUCUGUCGACUAAAAUAGAUAUGGUCUAGCGUCUUAAUUCCUCUGCAUCUCCAUCCCAGAGUUUUCGCAUCAGUCUGGAAUGCACAUUCGCCACAUACUCACCACAAGUGGUAGUGCAGAAUAAAACCGAGUGGUCGGACUUCAUUGGACAAUAGCUCAACUUCUUUUCAUUCUGUGUCAGCUUCAACCUCCCUUGAGCAUAAUUCUUGGCACAACCAUCGAGGCUUUACGAAAUUUUAAACUGCAGCUGCCUGCAACGUUCAGUCUCCUUAAUGCACUGUCACAUAUUUUAUUUCGUGACCGUCAAGUGCUCUAGCUAACUUGACGAGGAAAAUAAAGUCUGUGAGAAUUCUAUUGAAGAAUUUAAUGAUUUUAUUUCAGGUGUUCUGGAUGGCUUCGAUUCGGAAUUAUAUAAGUUGUCAUUAGGAUUUUUCAAUUCAAGUUUUUUUCAAUCGAUUUUAAUUCACUUUUUUUUUCUAUUUAAAUUUAUUAGUUAAUUGUUGGUUGUCUAUUCUCUGUACAAUAUUCGGCAAAAAAUUACAACGGUAGACGAAUUUUGAAUCUCUUGUCUUGAAUUUAUCGUUGAACCUUUAAAAUUUUUUAGAGAAACCGCUAGAUUUUCUAUAAAAUUUUUCCAUAAGCAUCCGGUUAAUCUCCCGAGCACUUUAAACUGGUAUCCAAUCCCGGAAGGUCUGUAUAAGUCUGACACGAAGAUGAGAUCUGUCACGUCAGAGAAAUCUCUCUGACAGAUCAUCCUUUCUUUCCAUUUCUCAAAAGCCUCUAAAUUUGGUCCCUAAAUUGGUCCCUGCACUUUGAAGCACUUUUUUGCGAUAAAACUAAUGGUCUCGGGUUAACCGGGGAGGGACGUCAUAAAUCUGUUGAGGCGAUAAUCGGAAUUUCUUGGGAGCCAGACACCAAUGCAUUCACCUGAACUUGUCUCUUUUUUUUUUCUUCGUCUCCUGAGCCCUCGAGGUGCUUUCACGUUUAAAUCGGAGAGUUAAAAUGAAAACGUCAACUGCAUCGUUUGUGAUUAUAUGCAUGGACACAUAAUUAAACGAGCUUUCCGCGUCACGUAUCACCGGCUGUGGAGAUGGAAUGAGUUGUCUCCUGGU